GACGAACGCUGGCGGCGUGCCUAAUACAUGCAAGUAGAACGCUGAAGAGAGGAGCUUGCUCUUCUUGGAUGAGUUGCGAACGGGUGAGUAACGCGUAGGUAACCUGCCUGGUAGCGGGGGAUAACUAUUGGAAACGAUAGCUAAUACCGCAUAAAAUGGAUUAUCGCAUGAUAAUCCAUUGAAAGGUGCAAAUGCAUCACUACCAGAUGGACCUGCGUUGUAUUAGCUAGUUGGUGGGGUAACGGCUCAACAAGGCGACGAUACAUAGCCGACCUGAGAGGGUGAUCGGCCACGCUGGGACUGAGACACGGCCCAGACUCCUACGGGAGGCAGCAGUAGGGAAUCUUCGGCAAUGGACGGAAGUCUGACCGAGCAACGCCGCGUGAGUGAAGAAGGUUUUCGGAUCGUAAAGCUCUGUUGUAAGAGAAGAACGAGUGUGAGAGUGGAAAGUUCACACUGUGACGGUAUCUUACCAGAAAGCGACGGCUAACUACGUG
rnacentral:rRNA from 1 species